rnacentral:rRNA from 1 species
UACGGAGGAUGCAAGCGUUAUCCGGAAUGAUUGGGCGUAAAGCGUCCGUAGGUGGUUAUGUAAGUCUGUGGUUAAAGCGUGGGGCUCAACCCCAUAAGGGCCAUGGAAACUACAAGACUUGAGUAAAGUAGGGGUAGAGGGAAUUCCCAGUGUAGCGGUGAAAUGCGUAGAGAUUGGGAAGAACACCGGUGGCGAAAGCGCUCUACUGGACUUAAACUGACACUGAGGGACGAAAGCUAGGGGAGCGAAAGGG